rnacentral:rRNA from 1 species
CGCCUUGCCAGCCCGCUCAGAAACUCAAAUGAAUUGACGGGGGCCCGCACAAGCGGCGGAGCAUGUGGAUUUAAUUCGAUGCAACGCGAAGAACCUUACCUGGGUUUGACAUACACCGGAAAACCGUAGAGAUACGGUCCCCUUGUGGUCGGUGUACAGGUGGUGCAUGGCUGUCGUCAGCUCGUGUCGUGAGAUGUUGGGUUAAGUCCCGCAACGAGCGCAACCCUUGUCUUAUGUUGCCAGCACGUAAUGGUGGGGACUCGUAAGAGACUGCCGGGGUCAACUCGGAGGAAGGUGGGGACGACGUCAAGUCAUCAUGCCCCUUAUGUCCAGGGCUUCACACAUGCUACAAUGGCCAGUACAGAGGGCUGCGAGACCGUGAGGUGGAGCGAAUCCCUUAAAGCUGGUCUCAGUUCGGAUCGGGGUCUGCAACUCGACCCCGUGAAGUCGGAGUCGCUAGUAAUCGCAGAUCAGCAACGCUGCGGUGAAUACGUUCCCGGGCCUU